GCAGUCGCCGCGGUAAUACGAAGGGGGCUAGCGUUGCUCGGAAUGACUGGGCGUAAAGGGCGCGUAGGCGGAUUGUUUAGUUAGGCGUGAAAUUCCUGGGCUUAACCUGGGGACUGCGCUUAAUACAGGCAGUCUAGAGUGAGGAAGAGGGUUGUGGAAUUCCCAGUGUAGAGGUGAAAUUCGUAGAUAUUGGGAAGAACACCGGUGGCGAAGGCGGCAACCUGGUCCUUGACUGACGCUGAGGCGCGAAAGCGUGGGGAGCAAACAGGAUUAGAUACCCGGGUAGUCCCUGUCUCUUAUAC
rnacentral:rRNA from 1 species